GGUCGAGUGGCCCAAUGGCAAGGCGUCUGACUACGAACUCAUAUUGAGUUUAGUUAAUCAGAAGAUUGUGGGUUCGAUCCCCAUCUUGAUCA
rnacentral:tRNA from 1 species